rnacentral:rRNA from 1 species
UACAGAGGUCUCGAGCGUUAGGCGGAAUCACUGGGCUUAAAGCGUGUGUAGGCGGAUCGUUAAGUGCCUUGUGAAAUCCCACGGCUUAACCGUGGAACUGCUUGGCAUACUGGCGGUCUUGAGCAACCUAGGGGCGAGCGGAACAAAUGGUGGAGCGGUGAAAUGCGUAGAUAUAGGAAGGAACACCAGUGGCGAAGGCGACCACCUGGACUGAUACUGACACUGAGGUGCGAAAGCGUGGGGAGCAAACAGG